rnacentral:rRNA from 1 species
GGAGGGUGCAAGCGUUAUCCGGAUUCACUGGGUUUAAAGGGAGCGUAGGUGGGCAGGUAAGUCAGUGGUGAAAUCUCCGGGCUUAACCCGGAAACUGCCAUUGAUACUAUCUGUCUUGAAUAUUCUGGAGGUAAGCGGAAUAUGUCAUGUAGCGGUGAAAUGCUUAGAUAUGACAUAGAACACCGAUUGCGAAGGCAGCUUACUACGGAACUAUUGACACUGAGGCUCGAAAGCGUGGGGAUCAAACAGGAUUAGAUACCCUGGUAGUCCACGCCCUAAACGAUGGAUACUCGACAUCAGCGAUACACUGUUGGUGUCUGAGCGAAAGCAUUAAGUAUCCCACCUGGGAAGUACGACCGCAAGGUUG